AUUGAACGCUGGCGGCAGGCCUAACACAUGCAAGUCGAGCGGAAGAAGGGAGCUUUCUUCUGGAUUCAGCGGCGGACGGGUGAGUAAUGCCUAGGAGUCUGCCUGGUUGUAGGGGAUAACGUCCUGAGACGGGCGCGAAUACCGCAUACGUCCUGAGGGAGAAAGUGGGGGAUCUUCGGACAUCACGCUAUCAGAUGAGCCUAGGUCGGAUUAGCUAGUUGGUGGGGUAACGGCCUACCAAGGCGACGAUCCGUAACUGGACUGAGAGGAUGAUCAGCCACACUGGAACUGAGACACGGUCCAGACUCCUACGGGAGGCAGCAGUAGGGAAUAUUGGGCAAUGGGCGAAAGCCUGAUGCAGCCACGCCGCGUGUGUGAAGAAGGUCUUCGGAUCGUAAAGCACUGUAAGUUGGGAGGAACGGCUGUAAGUUAAUACCUUGCUGUCUUGACGGUACCAACAGAAUAAGCACCGGCUAACUACGUG
rnacentral:rRNA from 1 species